UACGUAGGGGGCAAGCGUUGUCCGGAAUCAUUGGGCGUAAAGAGCGCGUAGGCGGUCCGGUAAGUCCGCUGUGAAAGUCAAGGGCUCAACCCUUGAAUGCCGGUGGAUACUGUCGGGCUAGAGUCCGGAAGAGGCGAGUGGAAUUCCCGGUGUAGCGGUGAAAUGCGUAGAUAUUGGGAGGAACACCAGUGGCGAAGGCGGCUCACUGGACCGGCAUUGACGCUGAGGAGCGAAAGCCAGGGGAGCAAAGCGGGAU
rnacentral:rRNA from 1 species